GUCCACACCGUAAACGUUGGGCGCUAGGUGUGGGAUCCAUUCCACGGGUUCCGUGCCGCAGCUAACGCAUUAAGCGCCCCGCCUGGGGAGUACGGCCGCAAGGCUAAAACUCAAAGGAAUUGACGGGGGCCCGCACAAGCGGCGGAGCAUGCGGAUUAAUUCGAUGCAACGCGAAGAACCUUACCUGGGUUUGACAUACGCCGGAAAGCAUCAGAGAUGGUGCCCCUUUUUGUCGGUGUACAGGUGGUGCAUGGCUGUCGU
rnacentral:rRNA from 1 species